CAGUUACUCCCCGCUUGGCAAAGAGUAACUCAUUUUGAUGCCUCUCGCCACCCCUGGCCCUAGUGUUGAAAAAGUCAUGCGACACACUCGCACUCCACCACCCCAUCCCAUGCCUAAACGCUCCCACCAUCGAGGUGUUAACCAAAAUUUCGCUGUGUGCAUGAGAUACAGCUCUCGCGCUCCCCCCACCCCCAUUCCUGUACGCUCCCACAGUUGCCAUGAUUGCUGAUUUUUGCUCUGAGCGUGAGACCCACACUCGCAAUUUUCCAUUCGCCACCAACAUCCCGCUCAAGGCAGAAGCACUAUGGACGGAAGACAUUAUGGACAUUCAAGAGUAGGAAAAUAACAUAGUUUUAUAUACAAAUAUAUGAUUUAUGAAAUACUAUAAAUUGAAUACUUAAUUGAGGAUUAUUAAAAUAUGCAUAAUAUUUCAAGCAUAAUGGUCUUUAGCUUGGUCAUUUUAUUGUGACAAUUAUUCGUUAUAAUAUAUUCUGCACGAAAAAUUAUGAUAUUUGAUUCGAGCUCUCCCAUAGUGACAGUUCCACAUUGUUGUUCUUUCUCGCUCACACUUUGAGAGUUCAACAUUUGACACUUCACAGGUACAAAAACAAAGUGAGCUGGCUUGGCUUGGCUUGGUUUGGCUUGGUUUGUUUUAUCAAAGAAGCUGACGAAAUUUAACUUGUUUUCGUGUAUAUUUUCAAUAUAUUUAGCUGUGAUUGUGGUAUUUAAGUGUUAAAUAAAGUUGUGCUGUGAUUACUGUGUGCAAAACGUGUAUGUGCCGGUGUAAAAGUGUUUGAUUGCCGUGGACAGUGUUGUGAACCAGAUCGCCGGAAUUUAUCGUGAAGCCGUGUAAAAAUGGCAUCAAAAAAAAUGCGAAUGGAUGGCAGUCUUUCGAAAAAACGCCAACAGUAUUUGGAGCAGUUGGAACGCGAAUGGCAAGCGGAGCAGCACCAACCGAAUCUUCCGGGUCCAAGCGGAGUAACGGCAGGACAGGAGCCGAAUCUCAUCAUGAAUGUUGAUGAAUCUAACGCCGGAGCGGAGCUAUGUGCGUCUGACGGCGAUGGUGGCUAUGGUGACAUGGAACGGGAAGCCGAAUUCGAUUUACAGGAGGAAAAUGAUUGGCAGGAAGACGAGGAAGAUGUGUACAUGGAAAGAGACACAAACUACCAGUUUUUUGACAACAUAUCGUUGCAGGAAGGACUUCGUUAUGUUGCCGUAACGAAAAAUCUGUCCCGAUCUACGGUCAACAUGAUUCUGGGUCUGUUGCGAAGAAAGCUGAAGCUCUGCCUUCCUGCUGACGCUCGAACCCUCUUAAAAACGUCCACCAAGGUCGGGAUGGAAAUCCAACCAAUCUUGGGUGGGCAGUUUUGGUAUCAGGGCAUAGAGACCGUGAUAAGAGAACAUUUUGGGGAGAUUAUCCCGCAUGUUGAUCUUUUUUCUUUGCAGGUUUUCAUCGAUGGAUUACCCCUUUACAAGAGUUCGGCAAGGCAGUUAUGGCCGAUUCUAUUUAAGGUAGAGGAACUACCAGAUGCACCGGUGAUGCUUGCCGGUGUAUUUUGUGGAUUCACAAAACCGGAUCACGUGGAAGGAUUUUUGCGGCCUCUCGUUGAUGAAGUAAACAAGCUUCAAUCAAGCGGCUUGCGGUUCGGCGACAAGACGGUGGGCGUUAAACUUCACAUAUUUAUCGCUGAUUUACCCGCCCGCUGCUUUGCCAAAGCCACCAUAAGCUACGUUGGCAAACACAGCUGUCAUAAAUGUACAUGCGUGGGAGUACACGAAGGGAAAAAAGUCAUUUUUGAUGAUGUGGAUGCUGCAUUGCGGACUGAGGAAAGCUUUAAAGGCAGGACGGAUAAGGAACAUCACAAAAGUUGGAAGUCACCUUUGGAAGAUGUGGUGGGUUUUAACAUUGUAGAUCAUAUAAUCAUAGCAGAACGCAUGCAUCAAUCAGAUUUGGGCAUUUCAAAAAAAAUAGCUACAGGAUUUGUUGAGCACAAAUUUCCCAAAUUCCCCAAAUGGACAGAGGCACACAUAGAAACAGUUUCAAAUUUUUUAAUAGCAACACAGCUUCCAGUAGAGUUCAAUAGGAGAUUGCGGCACGUUAAAUUUAUUAAAUUUUGGAAGGCGACAGAGUUCCGUACAUUUUUACAUUACGUUAGUAUUAUUGUGUAUAGAGAUUUUAUGUGGGAGGAGGCAUUUAGUCAUUAUUUGCUUUAUUUUUGUUCUAUGACUAUAUUUUCCUCUAAUCAUCACAAACCUCUUUGGCCGCUUGCUAAAAGAUUAAUGUAUAUUUACGUAAAAAAAUUUGCAGAUUUUUAUGGUAGAACUAAUUUAACUACUAAUGUACAUGGCCUUAUACAUAUUUAUAAUGAUGUAGAUAAUUUUGGAGCGGUAGAUGAUAUAUCCGCAUAUGAUUUUGAAAAUCAUUUACAGAUUUUAAAAGGUAGUUGUAAGUCAGGCAACAGAUGUAUGGAACAGGUUAUAACAAGAUGCAAGGAAUUUCAACAUAUAAAAAGAGCUAAAAACAUUCCCGCUCCAACUUAUCCGCAGUUGAUGCCUAAUGGUAUUGGCUUGCAAGUUAGAGCCGACUUUAGCCUAAAAGCCAAUUUUAGAAACCAAUGGUUUCUUAGUGACACAAAUUAUAUUUGCCAGUUUGUGGAAGCUAAGGAGACACAUUCUUCUUUUGUUGUCGUUGGUAUGCAGUAUGAGUCUAAAGAGGAGAUGUUCAAGCUUUCUGCAAAGGACCAUAUUUCAGAAAUAGAAUUAUCGUCCACUAGUUUACACAUUUACAAAGUAAAAAAUAACACUCCUCGCCAACGGGUAGAACUACCGCAUCAAAACAUAAAAUGUAAAUUAGUGGCCAUACAUUUACCAUCCCAAUCCCUUUUCAGCAACUCAAUUCUAACCACCAUUCCAUCCGAUACAAUAGGAUUUUUUCCUCUCCUCCACACUUUUCCAAAAGCAUAGUUGUAUUUAUUGAUAAUAAUAUGAUUUUAUUUUUAUUUUAGAGAAGGUAUUUGACUCCUAAUUUUCUGUGGCUCGGAUGGAGCAUGGGUUGGACUACAUUCGUAUAAUUAGAAUCGUUUAGAUUAGAAUGCAUGCAGUAGUUUAUUUGCAAUUCAUUAAAAACACCGGGCAAAACAAAAUAUACAACGCCUCAUGAAUCCGUUGUUUAUAGAAGAUCCUGAAUCUGCGUUUGCAGCCGCUGCGCUUGAGGUCGGAGAUGAUGGGACGACGAUAUUAUCUAUAAGAUAAUCCAGUUGGCAUUUUACUGUUCCAAUUGCAUUUGUCAGCUUCCAGAUUUUUUUGUCGUGCUCCAGCAUUCCUAAUUGUAUUUCAUUCAUCAUUCCUAACACCUUGUCAAUUUUUUCAUUGAGUGAAGCCAGUGUUAUCUCUGGAUUUUCGCUAACCUGGUUUUCCAUCGCUGAUAUGGCUAUGGUUUAAAAAUUAGUUGUUUUAAAAUUCAUUCGGCCACAAAGUCAUUCUAUCAUUUUAUUUACCUUUUUUUCACUUUUUUCUAGCUCCAAGCUCCAAGGCGUGCGAGAAUAAUUUUUUGCUCCAAUCAGUCCAAAAAACGAAGACCAAAUAAAAUUUUCCAUCGUCUUGAAACCCAUA